ACGGGGUGCAGCAGGCGCGAAAACUUUGCAAUAAGCGAAAGCUUGACAGGGCUAUCCCGAGUGCCAUCCGCUGAGGAAGGCUUUUACCCAGUCUAGAACGCUGGGGGAAUAAGGAGAGGGCAAGUCUGGUGUCAGCCGCCGCGGUAAUACCAGCUCUCCGAGUGGUGUGGAUGUUUAUUGGGCCUAAAGCAUCCGUAGCUGGCCAGGUGAGUCCCCUGUUAAAUCCACCGAAUUAAUCGUUGGAUUGCGGGGGAUACUGCUUGGCUAGGGGACGAGAGAGGCAGACGGUAUUUCCGGGGUAGGGGUGAAAUCCUAUAAUCCCGGGAAGACCACCAGUGGCGAAGGCUGUCUGCUAGAACGCGCCCGACGGUGAGGGAUGAAAGCUGGGGGAGCGAACCGGAUUAGAUACCCGGGUAGUCCCAGCUGUAAACGAUGCAGACUAGGUGUUUGGACGGCCACGUGCCGUUCUAGUGCCGCAGGGAAGCUGUUAAGUCUGCCGCCUGGGGAGUACGAUCGCAAGAUUGAAACUAAAGGAAUUGGCGGGGGAGCAC
rnacentral:rRNA from 1 species